rnacentral:rRNA from 1 species
UACGAAGGGGGCUAGCGUUGUUCGGAAUCACUGGGCGUAAAGGGCGCGUAGGCGGCUUUAUAAGUCGGGGGUGAAAGCCUGUGGCUCAACCACAGAAUUGCCUUCGAUACUGUAGAGCUUGAGACCGGCAGAGGUAAGUGGAACUGCGAGUGUAGAGGUGAAAUUCGUAGAUAUUCGGAAGAACACCAGUGGCGAAGGCGGCUUACUGGUCCGGUUCUGACGCUGAGGCGCGAAAGCCAGGGGAGCGAACGGG